AACUAAGUUUGUUAUUGGUAUGAGCUUUUGUGUGCAUGCACACUUCUUCAGAUAUGAUCUGAAUCUGAAGCAGUGUGCAUGCACACGAAAACUCAUGCCAAUAACAAACUUAGUUGG
rnacentral:miRNA from 1 species